UACGUAGGGUGCAAGCGUUGUCCGGAUUUAUUGGGCGUAAAGAGCUCGUAGGCGGUUAGUCACGUCGGAUGUGAAAUCCCAGAGCUUAACUCUGGGCCUGCAUUCGAUACGGGCUGACUAGAGUGUUGUAGGGGAGACUGGAACUCCUGGUGUAGCGGUGAAAUGCGCAGAUAUCAGGAAGAACACCGGUGGCGAAGGCGGGUCUCUGGGCAACUACUGACGCUGAGGAGCGAAAGCGUGGGGAGCAAACAGG
rnacentral:rRNA from 1 species